GUGUGUGCAUCCUAACGCUAUGGAAGGAGGCAAGGAUCAGUCAGUAAUCCGGAAGCAGGUGACAGCCUCCUCACCCAUACGUUAGUGACAGCACAUGAACACCUUGGACACCUGCUGAUUCUGAAUGAUGCCUGAGUGACCACCUGUGUUCAAGCUUCGAAAGAAAAUGGAUACUUAACAGCUAAACAACCCACCACAACGGCAGCUCUGCGAACGAACGAGUUCCUGAAGGACGCCACUCCGGAGCUUGUUCGCCUAUUUCAAAAGAACGGCUCGCAUGGCGGUUCUUUGCGCGGGGCCGAGGUGCUACACGGAGACCGGUGACGGAGAGACCCAUCCUCCGAAUUCUUCCUCCAGCGCCGCCGCUACUGCCAGGCUCAAGUGGUCGUUCCCAGGGGUCGCCACCACCUGCAUGAAAAGAAAACUAUUUAAAUAUAUUUGUUUAAAUAAUAGUUCCUAUCAAUCACUGCACACAAAGUUACAACACAAUGCCAGCAAAUAACUGAGAUGUAAGACAUGAUCUGUAAAUUAAUCAAGUCGAGCUUCAGAAAAAAAAAGUAAAUAUAUAUGAAGAUAAACAGUGUAAUUCGUACCUGCAGUCCAAGAGGGAAGCCAUCCUUAGUAAGUCCAAGAGGAACAGCAGUGGACGGCAUUUCAGUGGCAUUGAAAAUUCCAUUGAGGUUGAUAUCGUUCCAGGAGCACAAAAGUUCUCCAUGGAAGGGUGCCACUAAGGGCAAUACAGGCACUACCAGCACACCAUUGUGGCCAAGCUUAUCC